GACGAACGCUGGCGGCGUGCUUAACACAUGCAAGUCGAACGGAAAGGCCCUGCUUUUGUGGGGUGCUCGAGUGGCGAACGGGUGAGUAACACGUGAGUAACCUGCCCUUGACUUUGGGAUAACUUCAGGAAACUGGGGCAAAUACCGGAUAGGAGCUCCUGCUGCAUGGUGGGGGUUGGGAAGUUUCGGCGGUUGGGGAUGGACUCGCGGCUUAUCAGCUUGUUGGUGGGGUAGUGGCUUACCAAGGCUUUGACGGGUAGCCGGCCUGAGAGGGUGACCGGCCAUAUUGGGACUGAGAUGCGGCCCAGACUCCUACGGGAGGCAGCAGUGGGGAAUAUUGCAUAAUGGGCGGAAGCCUGAUGCAGCAACGCCGCGUGCGGGAUGACGGCCUUCGGGUUGUAAACCGCUUUCGCCUGUGACGAAGUGUGAGUGACGGUAAUGGGUAGAGAAGCACCGGCUAGCUACGUG
rnacentral:rRNA from 1 species